rnacentral:lncRNA from 1 species
UAGCAACCUCUGCAAAAUGGUUCCUGUAAUGACACUCUUUCAAGAUGGCCAGGCUUCUGGUGAGCAAUAGCUGUAAUUUUUUCCCAUGGUGCUGGAUCAUCCACAGCGGAGCUGACCAGGUUUACGUGCCCUGCAGAGCCACUUGGGGUAAAUCAGAUGAAGGACAGAGGAUGGAGGCAUUCUGCACUCGAGUUAAAAUCAAGCCAAGAAAUGAAUCUCUUGUUAGGAAUUUUGCCUGGUGAAUCAUGUUGAACUGAGAGCUGUCUGUGGUGAGCACAGGCAAUAUCCAAUCACUAGCUGUACUUCGCCUCCUCACAGUUACACCCUGCUGUGUGAGGAAAGUGUCUCUCUUCCUCAGAAAACAAGAUCCAAGGUGCAAAACCCAUCAACUGGGGCGUCAUGGAAUAUCUUGGAAAAUUUUAGAGCUAGUAAUUUCCUUCUGCCAGGAAUAAUUUGGUUUAGUCUUUCUUUUUCUAAAUGUCCACAUCAGCAGUGGAAUAGCAAAACAUGAAUUGGACUGCCUAUGGACCGUGAUUUACUGUCACUCUUUCCGACCAGGCUUAGACUACAGGCAGGUACUAACCCAGAAGGCAGAAGUCUGGAGGCCUGAAAGAAUUACAGGACAAAAUACUGGCCCCUCACAGGAACUGAGCAAGACUUGAGUGUCGGAAGUCCAGACAUGUAUUACAUUUAUUCAUUAAACAAUGAUGUACUGAGUGGCUAUGUUGAACCAUUUGCUUCAUCACACAACUGGGACACAUUGGUGGUGGAAUGCACAAGAAUCCUUGUGAAAUGAAGUCUGCACAUUCUAAAAGCAGGAGACCAGCAAUUAACAAUACAUGUGAUAACAGAGUAAAUUCUGCAGUGUGUUGGAAGCUGAGAAAUUCUACAGGAAAAAAUAAGGGCUGUUCACAGUGGCUGAGGAGCCUUCUGGGGCAUUUCAGCAGCGUCCCUGGACACAGUGAAUCGACAGACUUCUUUUUGAAAAACUUCUAUAAAGAGCUAUUGCUGCAUCCAGCAGGAAGCCAUAGAC